CGGAAGGCCACCUAAGGCAGCAAGUUACGUCACUGCCUGAACCUCCAAUCUCUGCCUCUUCCUCCUUUAACCUUACAGAGGAGGCGGGUCUUCCGGGCUUGGAGGCGGGCUUCCCAACUCUGAUGAUGCAGAGCUGGAAGAAACCUCAGGAAUGCUUUCGAUUUUGCAGAUGAGGACAGAAGCCCAGGACUUGCCAAAGGAACCUCAUGGGAGAGUCUGGAUUAGUUCAGAGACCUCACCUUUCCAUUUAACUUCUGAGUCUUGGUUUUCUUAUCUGUAAAUAGGGUUAUUAAAGUUAUACCUUCUUUGUAGGAUGGUUGCAAGGAUUCAGUUUCACUCAUGUGAUGCUGUCAGUACAGUGCUAGGCUUACUCCAUAAAUGCUUGAGUUAGUGAUUAUUGUUGGCUGCAGGCGUAAGAAUCUACUACUUUUGAAAUACCAAGAGGACCCAGACACAAACCACAAACACAGGGCUGUGAUGUGAGGUAAGCCCAGUAAGAAAGCAGUUACACAGGGACUUUUUUAAAAAAGAGAUGGUCUCACUCUCUUGCCCAGGCUGGCGUGCAGUGGCACAGUCACAGUUCUCUGCAUCCUUGGUGUCUUGGGCUCAAGGGAUACUCACACUGGGAGACUUGUACACCCCAAUUUUAAUCCUGGCUCCAGCAUCAGCUGUGUUGUAUGACUUGGUGAAAAUUUUCACACAGAAAUACAUCUUCCACCAUUAUACAUUUCUUCUGGAAGGAACUAUACAGGCAUGUGGCUAAGCAGACAACCACAUCGCUGUUGGGAAAGGACUGGAGAGCUCACAGUAGGAGAGAGGGAUGAGGGCAGACACGGGCUCUGGCCUGGAGCCAGGAUUAUCUGGAGGCAGCUCAGCAUGACUGGCUUGUGCUGCCUGGCUUCUCCCAGGGCCCCAUCAUGCCAUAGGAGUUAAGGGUCAAAGCAUAGUUAGAAAAAAAGCACAAGCCUUUUCCUGUUAAGGCUGAGAAGGAAGCUGGACGUGAACACUCUGCUUUACUCUUAACCUUAAUCAUGUAAGUUAUCUGACAGGAGGAGGUCAGUGACACCAGGAGUUUUACCUUGUUAACAAACCAAAAUGCAGAUACCUCUGCCAGAUCAGAGGUAGGCAGAAGACCAAUUCCAACUUCAAAAUGAACAUGCAUGGUGUCCCAGUCUUCUAGAUCUUUAUACUUUCGUCUUCCUAAGUGUCAGGGAAGAAAACCAGAGGCACUAAAACUGCCAGGUUGCUGGAGGGAGGGAGUGCUGGGAACCUUGGGCGAAGCCAUAGACACAAAUCCCAGCGGCAGCCUGUGCAGUGCUCAGGAAGCCAUGCAUGGUGGGGCUGCUUCCUGCCCAACUAUGGCAUCUACAUGAGAUGCUCACUUAUUUAAGCUCAACUGGAACUAAGUGGGUGACCCCUUGAUUGUGCUACUACCCAUUAUGUACCCACCCAUACCCACCACUCCAAGGCUGAACAGAAAGGGUUGUCUGACACCCAGGUUUUAUUGUUUCCACUUUAUUGCUCAAGCAUGGAACUUGAGGCAAGCCUGGACCUUCAGCAACGUGCAGAGAAGAGGCUGAGGGGAUUUUGGGACACAACCUGGCCGAGAGGGGAAACUGACAGGGGAAAUACCAGAACAGGGAACAGGGGGUGGUCACCAUGACACCAGAAGACAUCAUCAGCCACACCGUCGGGGGUGAGGAAGGGAACAGAGAGAAGAAAUGGCAUAGCAGUGGUUUUUCCCAUGUCCCUAGCACCCACAUGGAGGCCACAUUUGGAAAUGGACUGGGAGAGGGAAAGGAUGAGGAAAACGGCUGCCCAGGAGUCUCCCUCUCCACCCUGGGUUCUUAUCAGACCUCAUCCCUACCACUUGCCUCUUCUACCCUUAGAAAAUGGACCUAACAGAGGGAGCAAAA
rnacentral:lncRNA from 10 species